GAGCGGCGGACGGGUGAGUAACGCGUGGGAAUAUGCCCUUCUCUACGGAAUAGCCUCGGGAAACUGAGAGUAAUACCGUAUNNNNCCUAUGGGGGAAAGAUUUAUCGGGGAAGGAUUAGCCCGCGUUGGAUUAGGUAGUUGGUGGGGUAAUGGCCUACCAAGCCGACGAUCCAUAGCUGGUUUGAGAGGAUGAUCAGCCACACUGGGACUGAGACACGGCCCAGACUCCUACGGGAGGCAGCAGUGGGGAAUCUUAGACAAUGGGGGCAACCCUGAUCUAGCCAUGCCGCGUGAGUGAUGAAGGCCUUAGGGUUGUAAAGCUCUUUCAGCUGGGAAGAUAAUGACGGUACCAGCAGAAGAAGCCCCGGCUAACUCCGUGCCAGCAGCCGCGGUAAUACGGAGGGGGCUAGCGUUGUUCGGAAUUACUGGGCGUAAAGCGCACGUAGGCGGACUGGAAAGUUGGGGGUGAAAUCCCGGGGCUCAACCUCGGAACUGCCUUCAAAACUAUCAGUCUGGAGUUCGAGAGAGGUGAGUGGAAUUCCGAGUGUAGAGGUGAAAUUCGUAGAUAUUCGGAGGAACACCAGUGGCGAAGGCGGCUCACUGGCUCGAUACUGACGCUG
rnacentral:rRNA from 1 species